CCAAUCACAGUCCUUGUCAAAUACUAGGAAACGAUUAAUUAAUUUUGUCCCGCCUACUGCCGUGUAUUUGAUGAGCUCUGUGCUGGAUGAGAAAUAGUAUUCACCCGAUGAGAAAGACGAAGAUAUGGCUGACUUAUCUGAAGGAGACCCUGAAAAUGAGAAAUAUGGAAUCCAAAAAGAAUGUAAAGAAGUAGAAGACGACGACGAAGAAGAAGAAGAAGAAGAAGAAGAAGAUCCAUAUGAAGUAAAACUUGAAGAAGAGGAACAAGAGGAAGAGGAACUAAUUUCCAGACACGGGGUCUACUUAAAGCAGGGAAUUUCUGAAAUAUUUCCUCAGAUAAGUGAUGACACCAUGAAUACUAUAGUUCUUGAUAGAAGAAACAGAAACGAUUUGCAUAUGUGUAUUGAACAUCUGUCGAACAACAAAGAAACGCAAGAUAUUGAGAUAAUGUAAUGAUAGGAAAAAAACGGAUCUAGGAAAAAUGGCCGCUGUAAUUUACUGACGUGUCCAAUUGGUGGAGAAAGAAACAUCUUUAACAGCACAUUAUAAGAUUUUUAUUUGUUAUAAUUUAUCGUUUCAUAUGUUUAUAUUUUGAAUGGUUUUAAUUUGUCAUCUGGUACCGACAAAGUUGAUAAAUGCAACUCGUCUCCAUGGUCGCUUGAAAACUAACAGUUAUCUAAGACGACUAGCUGGAGAUGUGUCCAACGUUUCCUGUAUAUAUUUUGUAUAAAUUGUUAAUGUAGCUCUCCGGAAACUGUAAUUUGAGGCACAGAUACAGUUAUAGGGAAUAAUAGUUCACGGGUUUUUCUCUCUUAACGCUGAAUAUCAAUAUAUAACAAAUCACUAUAGA